CUUUCCAUAGAGAGGGAGGCUGACUUGAACAUAGCGUCCUUGAAACCGUCUGCGUACUUAUUAAUUACCCUUUGUUUAUUUUAAUAUAUUUACUAAAUCAGGUACCCAAGGGAAUCCUCUACAUCAGUGAUGUGAGAAAUCCUGUUGCCUGAAGUCAAAGAGAGCCCAUCAAAAUAUUUUAACAGAAAUGGUGAAUCAGGUGUUCUCAUGCAAAGGACAUGUGAAAACACAGACUGUAAGUUUGGAUUUCUGGCACCUCUGUUUGAAAAGCUCGGGUGAAAGCAGUGGCCAGUCUUGACUCUGUCUUCACUACAGGCCCCUGGGGUCUCUAAAGACACAGUCUUUAGAGGGAGUCCCCUCCUGUGAGACAGCAAACUGUACGGUGCGCAGAUUUGGAGAGAGGACCAAUCGAUCCAUCACAACUUCAUGAGUGUGUCUUAGGCAAAUGACAUCAGUGUAUUUGUUGGCACUGAGAAAAUAGGAGGAAAUAAUUCUGUUUAAAGUGUCUUAUUACUGGGACUUACUUAAUUGUUUGCUGUUGUUGUUUGUUUAGAUGAUGCUCCCCCUAACCACCACCACCACACCCCCUUUUCGUGCCAGGCUGUUUUUCUUUCUGUGGGCACCGGCCCACUACUGAGCUGAUUUAAUCUAUUAAUUACAGCAGAGCAGGUACAGAGUAACUAGCCUAAUGAGGCCAUAUGCACUCAUAUUAUUUUUAGUCAUCUCUAGGAUCCUACUGAGGGGACAACUUGAAGAAAGAAAGACACAUUAUGUGUGUAGGGGGGGAAAAGAAGAAGGAACUUUUGCCAAAGUACAGCACUCAUUACUUAAAACUAAAUGAUGCUUCUGUAAAGAGCUUUUGUUUUAAAAGCACACAUCCAGUUACCUGCCAAAAUCUCAGAUUUACUGCUCCCGUUCGCAGAUGCCAAUGUUGAACUCCUUUCACCUGCCACUUGCUGAGUCUUUCAUUUCCUCAAUCCAAAAAUUACCGUAGAGUUGUUGUUUAGUGUCUACGUUUUUUGGCUUUUCCUGGCACCUAAUGAAAUUAUCAGCAAUAAAUGAGCUAAGCAGAA